rnacentral:rRNA from 1 species
CGAACGGGUGUGUAACACGUGGGCAACCUGCCCAAAAGAGGGGGAUAACACUUGGAAACAGGUGCUAAUACCGCAUAACCAUAGUUACCGCAUGGUAGCUAUGUAAAAGGUGGCCAUGCUACCGCUUUUGGAUGGGCCCGCGGCGCAUUAGCUAGUUGGUGGGGUAAAGGCUUACCAAGGCAAUGAUGCGUAGCCGAACUGAGAGGUUGAUCGGCCACAUUGGGACUGAGACACGGCCCAAACUCCUACGGGAGGCAGCAG